CCCUUAGAUGUUCUGGGCUGCACGCGCGCUACACUGAUGCGCUCAACGAGUUUUAACCUUGCCUGGAAAGGUUGGGUAAUCUUUUUAAAACGCAUCGUGAUGGGGAUAGAUUAUUGCAAUUAUUAAUCUUCAACGAGGAAUUCCUAGUAAGCGCGAGUCAUCAGCUCGUGCUGAUUACGCCCCUGCCCUUUGUACACACCGCCCGUCGCUCUUACCGAUUGAGUGAUCCGGUGAAUAAUUCGGACUGCGGCAUUGACCGGUUCCCGAUCGUUGCUGCGGAAAGUUUAGUGAACCUUAUCACUUAGAGGAAGGAGAAGUCGUAACA
rnacentral:rRNA from 1 species